rnacentral:rRNA from 1 species
UUUUUCUAGGUUGACCUCGGAUCAGGUAGGGAUACCCGCUGAACUUAAGCAUAUCAAUAAGCGGAGGAAAAGAAACCAACAGGGAUUGCCCUAGUAACGGCGAGUGAAGCGGCAAUAGCUCAAAUUUGAAAGCUGGCCUCUGGUCCGCAUUGUAAUUUGUAGAGGAUGCUUUUAGGCAGCCGCCGGUCUAAGUUCCUUGGAACAGGACGUCAUAGAGGGUGAGAAUCCCGUAUGUGACCGGCUCAGGCACCUUCUGUAAAGCUCCUUCGACGAGUCGAGUUGUUUGGGAAUGCAGCUCUAAAUGGGAGGUAAAUUUCUUCUAAAGCUAAAUACUGGCGAGAGACCGAUAGCGCACAAGUAGAGUGAUCGAAAGAUGAAAAGCACUUUGGAAAGAGAGUUAAAAAGCACGUGAAAUUGUUGAAAGGGAAGCGCUUGCAAUCAGACUUGGCCUAGGGUGUUCAACCGGUCUUCUGACCGGCCUAUUCAUUCUGGGCCAGGCCAGCAUCAGUUUUGGCGGCCGGAUAAAGGCCUUGGGAAUGUGGCUUCCUCUUCGGGGGAAGUGUUAUAGCCCAAGGUGUAAUACGGCCAGCCGGGACUGAGGUCCGCGCUUCGGCUA